CAGGCGUCUAAGGUAGGCUCCCUCUACAUUACCUUACUGAUGAGUCCAGUAGUGGAAGCCGGGACGGAACGCCAA
rnacentral:hammerhead_ribozyme from 15 species